GCAGUUGGGUCCCAGACCUCAGGUUCAUCCUGCACUCAAUUCCCGCUCCUUCCAUGAACUCAAAAGGCAAAUCACCGCCUCCAACUCUGCACAGGACCUAAAUUGAACACCAUCUUAGUAGACGAGCAGAUCUACAGUCCAUCAAAACCGAACCCAGCCCUUAGGGGAGGGUGGUGAGGCAGUCACAGCCCUUUCAGACUCCAAACACCUGUGCCCAUAUUCCCUCUCCGUAGAGUUCGAGGAAGCUGCAAAUCUUCUGGCAGAAACCCCAGAUGCAGCAACCACGAGCCAAAGUGAUAAGCUGACCUCACAAGAGCAUGUGGCUGUGGUUGUGGGUUCAGGCAUUGGCUAUGGAGCCGAAGGAGAGGAAGAGGAUGACAAAACAUCACUUCUACAGGAUGAAAAGCCACAGCCAAGAUUCUGGACGUU
rnacentral:lncRNA from 1 species